rnacentral:rRNA from 1 species
UACGAAGGGAGCUAGCGUUGUUCGGAAUCACUGGGCGUAAAGCGCGCGCAGGUGGCUUUUCAAGUUAGGAGUGAAAGCCUGGGGCUCAACCCCAGAACUGCUCUUAAGACUGAGGGGCUAGAGUGUGGGAGAGGAUAGCGGAAUUCCGUGUGUAGAGGUGAAAUUCGUAGAUAUACGGAGGAACACCAAUGGCGAAGGCAGCUAUCUGGAACACAACUGACGCUGAGGUGCGAAAGCGUGGGGAGCAAACAGG